rnacentral:misc_RNA from 1 species
GAUGAAGAACGUAGCGAAAUGCGAUAAGUAGUGUGAAUUGCAGAAUUCAGUGAAUCAUCGAAUCUUUGAACGCACAUUGCGCCCGCCAGCACUCUGGCGGGCAUGCCUGUUCGAGCGUCAUUUCAACCAUCAAGCCCCAGGCUUGCGUUGGAGCCCUGCGGCUGCCGCAGCCUCCUAAAAGCAGUGGCGGGCUCGCUAUCACACCGAGUGCAGUAGAUUACUCUUCGCUCAGGGCGUGCAGCGGGUUCCGGCCGUGAAACCCCCUACUUUUAAAGGUUGACCUCGGAUCAGGUAGGAAUACCCGCUGAACUUAAGCAUAUCAAUAAGCGGAGGA